GGGAGGGACAAAAUUGCUUCCAAGUAAACGUGCAUUAGUGAGCGCUUUGAUUCUUUUCAUAGCGACAUCAUUUUCAGUGUCUACGCAGUAUGACAUCAGCUGGAAACACCAUGAACGACGAGGACACAUUCAAGAUCCUCAUUGCUACUGACAUUCACCUCGGUUAUCUAGAGAAGGAUGCCAUAAGAGGAAACGACACGUUCGUAACCUUUGAUGAGAUCAUGAAACAAGCCGUGCAAAA